CGGGGGACCGGUCUCUCAGGCAGGGACCGGUUCCCGAAGCCUGCCUUCUCAGGACUUAGCCGAUUUUCAGCUCUCUCAGUUUUCACGCGUUCGGGGACCGGUCUCUCCCUCUAGGGACGGGUUCCUGAGAGCUCAAAAACUGCAGUUUGCAGAUUUUUGAUUCUUUAGCUCUCGAAAACCUCCCAUAACGCACUUUUGAUCAUUUUAACACCUUCGGACUUUUCGAAGUGUACCAUUCUCGCACUUUGGUCAAUUUGACUAAAGUUCGAUAUUUAUUUUUCGAAUUUUCGGUAUAUUACAAACAGCAUUUUCCACAUCUGUGAUACGCAGAGAACAAAGAUGAAGAAAACAGUAAAUUGAGUGGGGGUUUGUUCGCACAUCGCACUAAUGGUGCGUUUGGUUCGCAUUGUAAAAGAUUACUAGGAAUAAAAGAUAUCCGAGAAUCUUAUUACUAUUCAUCCUAUUACUAAAAAUGUGAAAUUCCUGUGUUUGGUUCACACGGUAAUAUUAAUUAGCCAUUUUAUCUAAUAGUACAAAAUUUAUACAAUUAAUUAAUUAAUUUAUUUAUUUAAUUUUAGAUAAUGUUACCAAAAGUUUCAACAUCUUUUUUUUUUUUAAAAAAAGGAGAGAGAAAUAUAAGUUAGGAAGAGAGCAUAAUUAAAAAUAUAAAAAGAAAAAUAUAGUCGAAAUUAGAGGAGUGAGAGAGUUGAAAUUUUAGAAAGAGAGAGAGAGAGAAAGCUUAGUUUAGAG
rnacentral:lncRNA from 1 species